GGGGGCAUAGCUCAGUUGGGAGAGCAGCAGACUGAAGACUGAGUCUUUCUGAAGGUCCCGCGUUCAAUCCGCGGUGCCCCCA